rnacentral:lncRNA from 1 species
GUGUAAGAAGAAGAAGAAUGAAUUAAAAACAAGUUCAAAAUAAAUAAGUUCAAUUCAAUUCAAAUAUUUAUUUCUUUUUUUUAGUGAAGAUUAGAGAUAUAGCUUGUAGGUGUGGUGUAGUGUAGAUCAUGGAAAACCUUAAACCACAGUAUAGGAGAAUCAGUAAGCUCACUCGUCAAAAAAUUUGUUCCAUGCGCGAAGUUGACCAAAAUUCGUUUCACCGUGCGCAUCCGAUAAAGCGGAUCGGAUAUGUUUGCUACGAUUGGUCGGGAGUCGGGAUCGUGUCAUUCAUCAUCUGAUUUUCUUUUGAGAAUUUUUUGAGGUUGUGUUUGGGAAUUGGAUUGUUUUGGUUAAUUUACUACUUUGUUCUCAUAUUAAUAAUAUAUAUUAUGUACGUGUAAAAUAUUAUGUGCUGUGAAUGUGAUAUUAUUUUCUUAAAUCAAUAAAAUGGAAAUAAAGCAAGCAGAAAAUAAUUUUUACAAAGAAGAAUGUAAAAUUAAAAUCGAAAAUUCUGGACAACCUGUGUGAUGCUGUAAUAGUUCCUAUUCUGUUAAAACUUUAAAACUGAGAUAGAGUAGAGACUGUAGAGAGUCUUUAAAACUGAUAAAAGUAGUUAUUUCUAUGGUGGAAAUUUUUUGGACCAAAUAAAUAGUGAAGACAUCAAAUAAAAGGAGGAUAGAUAAUUCAUGUUCAAAAUGAUUUUCUUCAUAAUAAAUGAAGAACUGAAGUUAUUGUAAAACCAGUGGCUGGACAUUCUCCUGUCAAGAAGAACAACCCAUUAGCAAGUGUGCAAAAGAAACAAUGAAAUUGUGAAAUUUGUUUUAGGUUAUUUACCUGUGUAGAUUAUUUGAAAAAACAUUUAAGAGCACACACUGGAGAAAAACCUUAUCAAUGUGAAAUCUGCGUUAAGCAAUUUUCUCUAAAUUCUCGUCUAAAUCGACAUAAAUAUAUGAUAGUUCAUACUCGGGAAAAAUCUCACAAAUGUGAAAUCGUUUACCACUGUGUGUCAUAUGAAAGCACAUUUUAGAACACACAGUGGUAAAAAACCUUAUGAAUGCAACAUUUGUAGUAAGCAAUUGUUGACUGCAAAAACAAAUUUAAAUAAAAAAGUGACAAAGAUGUGACAGAAAUUUAUUGUCUUCUUAGUUUUUAUACCCUCAAUCAGCUUAUAAAUAGUAUUCUUUUAAAUGUACUUUAGUUCAUCCUCAUUUUUGCAUAUUUUCAUUUUUAAUUUGUCACAUGUACCGCAUGUAUCUUUCUUUAUGUUUCUUCAUACUGAUAAUCAGGCUGUAAAACAUGUUUUCAUAUAUUUUACAAUUAAUAAAAUUAUCUGGAUACAUCUUCUAAGUUUCAUAAAUAUGUAACAGUGAGAGUGUAGAGUGAAGGUAGAUAUUUCCUUGAUGACUGCCUUCUUUUCAUAUUUAUUCAUAUUCAAAAUUUGUUUUUUUACACAUUCUUCAAUUUUCACUUAUUAUAAUAAAAUAAUGUUAUUUGGUUUAAGUUGGUUGCUCAUUACAUUAAAAUCUAACCAUUAAUAAGAGUACAAAUCAAGUUGUCUCAUUAUUCACUAAUAGAUAUACUGAUAUAGGCUGUACCAAAAGGAAUAUGUUGACAUAUCCCUUUGUACACUAAACUUUCUAUACUAUUUUGUAAGUACCUCUUUUGGAACAAUCAACCUAACAUACAAUUUUUAGCUACAAUGGCUUGUCCCCUUUUACCAACUUGGAAUGGCGGCUCAUUUUCUUCUUCUGCCGUAAGUUCGCUAUAGUACUCAUGCCAUCUUUGUGUUUGCUCUUCUGUUGUUGUAAGCAGUUGUCCUUGUUUGUCUUUUAGUGGUGUGUCACUGUUGACAUUCUUAUUUGCAAGAUGUUUAGUGGUUUUAUAUAGCUCUCUCUGAAUAUUUGUUUCGGCUACCUCUUCUGCUAAGCGUGCCAUCUCUGUCCAUUCUCUUUUGUAAUUCCCAGCACUCUUUUACUUGUCGUAAUUCUCCUAAUUCCUUUUACUUGUCCUAAUUCUCAUAAUUCCUUUUACUUGUUUAUUUAUAUCUGCAUACUCUUGGGUUAUUCUGAUUUUAUCUUCUAAUUUUUGUAUUCUAUUUAGUUCGGCCUUUAAAUCCUUUCUCUUUUUUAUCAGUUGCCAUGUGUUAUCACCUAGCCACUCUGUUUUCUUUUCUCAGUUGUAGCCCAACACUUCUUGUGCAGUUUGGUGUACAGCCUCUUUGAUUAUCUCCCAUUUGUUUGAUAUAUUUGUCUGUGUGUUGUUUACAGUUUCUGUGUUCAACUUUAUUUUGUUACUCCACAUUUUUCGGGUUUCACUGUCUUUCAGUCGUUGUAUAUUAUCUUCGUUUGUUAUAUUGUUUAAUCCCUCUUUUGGCCUUGAUUUUUACUUUUAUUUCCGCUAUUAGUAGGUAAUGAUGACUUCCUACAUCUGCUGAUCUUUUAUUUCGUACACCUAGAAGGAUACUUCUCCAUUUUUUAUUAAUUAAGAUGUGGUCUAUGUGAUUUUGCGUUUUAUUAUUUGGUGAGAUCCAGGUUAUUUUGUGGCAGUCUUUGUGUGAGAAAAACGUUCCUCCAAUGACAAGAUUGAUUUCUAGGCUAAGUUCUAUAAAUUUCUCUCCAUUGUUGUUUCUUUUCCCUAGUCCAUAUGUUCCCAUGCAUUUUGCCACUCCCUUACUGUCUUUGCCAACUUUCGCGUUCAGAUCUCCCAUGACUAUAUCUCCUUUGGUCAGCUUUCCGAUAGUAUCUGUUAAUUGUUGGUAGAAAUUUUCUUUCUCAUCUUCUGUAGGUGCGUAACAUUGAAUAAUGGUUUAGUAACAAUAAUAAAUUUAAUAAUUAUAAAUAAAUUGAGGAGAAAUCUGUAAAUUUAUUAAGAUUAGAUAACAACAGAAGCUAAAUAUUUCAUUACUUACAACUAAUUAAUAUAAAUUUUCUAAAAAUAUCUUGAACAUUGACUUACUACAUACCAAUUGGAUUUAUUUUGACAUAUUUGGGAAUUAUGGUAACUGGAAUAAUUUUUAUUUCAAUAGAAUUAACUAUUUCAAAUGGGAAAUAAGCCACAAUUUAACUAAAAAAUGGUUUUAAUAACGUUUUGACGUCCACAUCGGAUGUCGAUGUCAAAAACAAAAUAUUAAUGUUUAAUUAAUAUUUUGUAAUACCAUUAAUAUUUUGUAUUUUGAUAACGACGUCCGAUGCGGAUGUUGUAACGAUAAUAAAAUCAUUUUUUUUUAUUAAAAUUGGGGCUUAUUUCCAAUUUAGAAUAGUUAAUUACAAAAAUGCCACAAGGAAAUGGCUUGAGAACAACAUUUUAAUAAAACGUUAUCUAAUAUUGAUUUUUUUAGUGAACAGGUCAAAGUAAACAAGAGAAAGUAUUUACAAUUUUUUUUUAAGGUGUAAAGGUACUAUUAAUACUAGAAAAUAAUAAAACAGAUUUCUCCUGAAGAAGUUUCUCCAGAUGUUGGUAUUUUGGAGGUUACUCAUCUCGUCAAAAGUAGUAGAUAUUCGUUGCUGCUUUUGAGAAUAGGGCAGUUCACGUGUUCUCACAUCCUCACAUGAAAAUUCUUAGUGGGGAAAAACCUCACAAAUGUGAUUUUUUCUAAGCAGUAUACUACUGCAACUCAUUUGAAAUUACUUUGAAAAAAUAAUGUGAAUUUGAUUGAAUAUUCUUACUAGUAUGGUUUGAAGUGGUCUUAAAACCGUUUAAGAACACACUGAAGGAAAACCAUAUGAAUGUGCGUGGAAGAAAUGUGCUGUAAAAUUUAAAGAUAGUGACAUGAAAGUUCUUGCUUAGAUUUCCCAGAUUUUUAAUAAAGAAUAAAAAAAUUAUAAACAUCUAUUAA